UACAGAGGGUGCAAGCGUUGUUCGGAAUCAUUGGGCGUAAAGGGCGUGUAGGCGGUCUGUUAAGUCAUGUGUGAAAUCCCUCGGCUCAACCGGGGAACGACGCAUGAAACUGACAAGCUAGAGUACCAAAGAGGGGGGUGGAAUUCCCGGUGUAGCGGUGAAAUGCGCAGAUAUCAGGAGGAACACCGGUGGCGAAGGCGGGUCUCUGGGCCGGUACUGACGCUGAGGAGCGAAAGCGUGGGGAGCGAACAGG
rnacentral:rRNA from 1 species